GUGCUCGCUUCGGCAGCACAUAUACUAAAAUUAGAACGAUACAGAGAAGAUUACCAUGGCCCCUGUGCAAGGAUGACACGCUAAAGAAGUCGAUACUUUGUUU